UACGUAGGGGGCUAGCGUUGUCCGGAAUCAUUGGGCGUAAAGAGCGUGUAGGCGGCUCGGUAAGUCCGCUGUGAAAGUCCAGGGCUCAACCCUGGAAUGCCAGUGGAAACUGUCGAGCUAGAGUCCGGAAGAGGCGAGUGGAAUUCCUGGUGUAGCGGGUGAAAUGCGGCAGAUAUCAGGAGGAACACCAAUGGGCGAAGGCAGCUCGCUGGGACGGUACUGACGCUGAGACGCGAAAGCGUGGGGAGCAAACAGG
rnacentral:rRNA from 1 species